rnacentral:rRNA from 1 species
UACGUAGGGGGCGAGCGUUGUCCGGAUUUAUUGGGCGUAAAGAGCGUGUAGGCGGCCAGGUAGGUCUGCUGUGAAAACUCGAGGCUCAACCUCGAGACGUCGGCGGAAACCAUCUGGCUAGAGUCCGGAAGAGGAGAGUGGAAUUCCUGGUGUAGCGGUGAAAUGCGUAGAUAUCAGGAAGAACACCCGUGGCUAAGGCGGCUCUCUAGUACGGUACUGACGCUGAGACGCGAAAGCGUGGGGAGCGAACAGG